GAGACAUCUAAUUGUAAGUCGCUUUUGGAUAAAAGCGCCAGCUAAAUGCAUGUAACAUGCUUGAAAGUUUCAACCUCAAGAGAGCAGUGCAGCAGAAACUUGCCAUAUAGGAUUUAGUGUCAACUAGAAAUAAGACCGUCACAAUGGCAAUGACCACCACGAGCGGAGUGCGAAGCAUCCCAGAUAGCAGUUGAUCCUAUCCGCCCUCCUGUCGCGCUCGGUUUGGUCAUGCCACCGGAUCCGCGCACCAUCAGACAGCGUUGUAACUGCGGUGGAUGCUCCAAGUUGUUGCCCUUCGACUUUUCAAACUGGUAUUUUCAAAACUGCAGCUCUUUGCGCCAGAAGUACGAGUUAGUUGUACAGAAGUGACAACACUGUUGAUCGCCAUCUCUACAAUUCAGAUAAAAUGAACAGAAAGAAUGGGCCUGUCUCCAGCUCCACCAUUAGACGGAGGGUCCGUCAAGAUGUUUUGACUACAUCACUGUGAUUGAUGGGAAACUGAAUACAACUUUGACUGUUCAGUAAAGUUUCUUCUCUUCAAUGUGUAUAACACGCCUAUUAUUGCCGUUUAAUCUCUUUUUUUUACGGUAUACCUCGUGUUGUCAAACACACAUUUUCAUACUCCUGGUUAUUAAGAACUUUAAUAGUUGCAAAAUAUUAUUUUUUUCAAAGUUCUUGGAACAGAAGGUUAUAUUUCUGUGACAAGUGACACUGUUUGUUUCUUUCCUCUGUAAUUCAGGAUGUUCCACUUCAUAGAAUUCUUGACUAACAAAAUGGUAGCAGUAGUGCCAUAAAGCUAUACCAGCUUUGUGGCACUACUGCUACCGUUUUGGCCGAAUUAUCCGAGGGACGAAAGGGUGGACAAGGCUGUCAGAAGCGCCGAACAACCUGGACCAGACUGGCAGACACAUGACGUCAGAGUAAUUGGAUCAUGCGGUAUUAUAUUAAUAUUGUAUUAAUUGGCCGUUUUAAACGGAUAUAAAAAAUCACUUUGUUAUAUAUGUUGGGGGAAACAACAUUUUAAUCACAUUGUUCUGUUUAUAAUUCUGUACUUUUUCAUUGUGUUUAUGUGACUUAAUUUUUAGAUAAUUACUUGGUGGAAAUAUGUCUUGAGACACAUCAGAUCUCCAGUCAGAAGAGGAGGCAAUUCCUAAAAAGAGGAAGCCAAUGCCGGUCAGGACAGCGAACACGCCAGGGGGACACGCCCACCUGGCGAGGGGCGUGGUGUGGUUCAGACACCAUAGCCUGCUGUGCUGUUCCAGUUCAAAUCCUAGGCAUGCUGGAGACAAUUACAGAGGUGAGAGACCCGGUUCCGUUUCCGUGUACCACAAUGGAGGAAGUGGACCUUUUUGAGCAACGGCUCAAAGAUCCCGUCAACAUUCUAAUGAGUGGUGAGUUUUUUUGUUUUAAGAAUCUCACGCAAAGCUGAUUAAAAUCUAUUGUAUGUAAUUAACACUAGACAAUACCAUGUUUGAUGGAAAUGUUUUUUCAAACAUUCUGUAAAGUAUCAAAUAUUAAUCGUACUUUUUCGAUUUCCUCCCUGUCUUGAGUAGUGUUCAAACUUACGAAUAACCAUCUUUCCCAGAUCUUUUUUUAACAGUGCUAAAUAAAAUGUUUGAAUUGCAACUUUAUUCUCUACUUGGGUAAAUGUUACUCGACUAUAUCUUUACAUAAUAGUUAUAUGAUAUAUUGACUCUAAAUAUAGCAUAGCACACCUUAAGUGCCAGACAGCUACUAGAUUUUAGACUGCAUUUCUGCUCUAUGUUGCACUGAGGAUUCAUGAGAUUUUGUAUCUGCUUGUGUG